rnacentral:rRNA from 1 species
CCUACGGGUGGCUGCAGUGGGGAAUAUUGGGCAAUGGAGGAAACUCUGACCCAGCAACGCCGCGUGAAUGAUGAAGGUCUUCGGAUUUGAAAGUUCUUUUCUUAGGGAAGAAAAAAGUGACGGUACCUUAGGAUUAAGCGUCGGCUAACUAGGUGCCCGCAGCCGCGGUAAGACGGAGGAUGCGAGCGUUAUCCGGCUUUAUUGGGUUUACAGGGUGCGUAGGCGGAUGAUAAAGGUAGCGGUAAAAUUGAGAGGCCCAACCUCUUCGUGCCGUUGACACUGGUUUUCUUGAGUGAGCGAGAAGUGUGCGGAAUGCGUAGUGUAGCGGUGAAAUGCAUAGAUAUCACGAAGAACUCCGAUUGCGAAGGCAGCUUACCGGCGCUCAACUGACGCUCAUGCACGAAAGUGUGGGUAUCGAACAGGAUUAGAUACCCGUGUAGUC